rnacentral:sRNA from 1 species
GUGCGCUGCUGGUGCCAACCCUUCAAGAGAGGGUUGGCACCAGCAGCGCACUUUUU